UACGGAGGGGGCUAGCGUUGUUCGGAAUUACUGGGCGUAAAGCGCACGUAGGCGGACUCUUAAGUCAGGGGUGAAAUCCUGGAGCUCAACUCCAGAACUGCCCUUGAUACUGGGAGCCUUGAGUUCGGGAGAGGUGAGUGGAACUGCGAGUGUAGAGGUGAAAUUCGUAGAUAUUCGCAAGAACACCAGCGGCGAAGGCGGCUCACUGGCCCGAUACUGACGCUGAGGUGCGAAAGCGUGGGGAGCAAAGCAGG
rnacentral:rRNA from 1 species